GUGUCAGUGGUGCAACGGUCCAACACACGCUCUUGGAAAGAGUGAGAUCUGGGUUCGAAUCCCGGCUGACUCA